rnacentral:rRNA from 1 species
AUGGUCCCCGGGGAGUCAUGGAGGUUUGUUUCCUGCAAUAGACGUGGCAAAAAAUCUCUGCCACAUGGAGAUGGUUGCUGCUGCACUGCAUGUGGAUACAGAGGAAAGAAGUUCAGGCAAAAUUCCAUUAGGCUUUGCUCUACUCUUAGUUACCAUGAGAUUUCAUCAAUCGCUCUACAUGGUGUCGUGCUUACUCUCGACAUGCAAUGGAUUCAAGUGUGCGUAGGGAGCUUUUCUCAACCACAUAGUGACAAAUGCACGAGCCUUACGGUCUAUGGUGUCACCGGCAUGCAAGUUGCUAAUCUCCAUUGGAUCACUGCGUGGGGUCGCACAUAG